rnacentral:lncRNA from 1 species
CAACAUCCCAGAGUCCGGCGGCUCCAAGCCCGUUUCAGAGUGCCCCGGUAACUCCAAGCCCGUUCCAGAGUGCUCCGGCAACUCAAAGCUCGUUCUCACAGACGCCACCUCCGCCAAGCGCUCCACAAACUCCAAGCCCGUUCCAAUCACCUCCGGCAACUCCAGGUCCGUUCCAAACACCUCCGGCAACUUCAAGUCCGUUCCAAACACCUCCGGCAACUCCAGGCCCGUUCUCAAGUCCUCCGGCAUCUCGAAGCCCGUUCCAGAGCUCUCCGGCAAUGUCAAGCUCGUUCCCGGGCACUCCAGCGGCUCCUCCAAG